CCUAAUACAUGCAAGUCGAGCGAACGGACGAGAAGCUUGCUUCUCUGAUGUUAGCGGCGGACGGGUGAGUAACACGUGGAUAACCUACCUAUAAGACUGGGAUAACUUCGGGAAACCGGAGCUAAUACCGGAUAAUAUUUUGAACCGCAUGGUUCAAAAGUGAAAGACGGUCUUGCUGUCACUUAUAGAUGGAUCCGCGCUGCAUUAGCUAGUUGGUAAGGUAACGGCUUACCAAGGCAACGAUGCAUAGCCGACCUGAGAGGGUGAUCGGCCACACUGGAACUGAGACACGGUCCAGACUCCUACGGGAGGCAGCAGUAGGGAAUCUUCCGCAAUGGGCGAAAGCCUGACGGAGCAACGCCGCGUGAGUGAUGAAGGUCUUCGGAUCGUAAAACUCUGUUAUUAGGGAAGAACAUAUGUGUAAGUAACUGUGCACAUCUUGACGGUACCUAAUCAGAAAGCCACGGCUAACUACGUGCCAGCAGCCGCGGUAAUACGUAGGUGGCAAGCGUUAUCCGGAAUUAUUGGGCGUAAAGCGCGCGUAGGCGGUUUUUUAAGUCUGAUGUGAAAGCCCACGGCUCAACCGUGGAGGGUCAUUGGAAACUGGAAAACUUGAGUGCAGAAGAGGAAAGUGGAAUUCCAUGUGUAGCGGUGAAAUGCGCAGAGAUAUGGAGGAACACCAGUGGCGAAGGCGACUUUCUGGUCUGUAACUGACGCUGAUGUGCGAAAGCGUGGGGAUCAAACAGGAUUAGAUACCCUGGUAGUCCACGCCAUAAACGAUGAGUGCUAAGUGUUAGGGGGUUUCCGCCCCUUAGUGCUGCAGCUAACGCAUUAAGCACUCCGCCUGGGGAGUACGACCGCAAGGUUGAAACUCAAAGGAAUUGACGGGGACCCGCACAAGCGGUGGAGCAUGUGGUUUAAUUCGAAGCAACGCGAAGAACCUUACCAAAUCUUGACAUCCUUUGACAACUCUAGAGAUAGAGCCUUCCCCUUCGGGGGACAAAGUGACAGGUGGUGCAUGGUUGUCGUCAGCUCGUGUCGUGAGAUGUUGGGUUAAGUCCCGCAACGAGCGCAACCCUUAAGCUUAGUUGCCAUCAUUAAGUUGGGCACUCUAAGUUGACUGCCGGUGACAAACCGGAGGAAGGUGGGGAUGACGUCAAAUCAUCAUGCCCCUUAUGAUUUGGGCUACACACGUGCUACAAUGGACAAUACAAAGGGCAGCGAAACCGCGAGGUCAAGCAAAUCCCAUAAAGUUGUUCUCAGUUCGGAUUGUAGUCUGCAACUCGACUACAUGAAGCUGGAAUCGCUAGUAAUCGUAGAUCAGCAUGCUACGGUGAAUACGUUCCCGGGUCUUGUACACACCGCCCGUCACACCACGAGAGUUUGUAACACCCGAAGCCGGUGGAGUAACCUUUUAGGAGCUAGCCGUCGAAGGUGGGACAAAUGAUUGGGGUGAAA
rnacentral:rRNA from 1 species